rnacentral:rRNA from 1 species
UACGUAGGGUGCGAGCGUUGUCCGGAAUUAUUGGGCGUAAAGGGCUCGUAGGCGGUUUGUCGCGUCGGGAGUGAAAACCAGGUGCUUAACACCUGGCUUGCUUUCGAUACGGGCAGACUAGAGGUAUUCAGGGGAGAACGGAAUUCCUGGUGUAGCGGUGAAAUGCGGCAGAUAUCAGGAGGAACAGCCGGUGGCGAAGGCGGGUUCUC